GGUUCCCUCAGAAUGGUUGGAAAUCAUUCGUAGAGUGCAAAGGCAUAAGGGAGCUUGACUGCGAGACCUACAAGUCGAGCAGGGACGAAAGUCGGGCUUAGUGAUCCGGUGGUUCCGCAUGGAAGGGCCAUCGCUCAACGGAUAAAAGCUACCCCGGGGAUAACAGGCUUAUCUCCCCCAAGAGUCCACAUCGACGGGGAGGUUUGGCACCUCGAUGUCGGCUCAUCGCAUCCUGGGGCUGUAGUCGGUCCCAAGGGUUGGGCUGUUCGCCCAUUAAAGCGGUACGCGAGCUGGGUUCAGAACGUCGUGAGACAGUUCGGUCCCUAUCCGUCGUGGGCGUAGGAAAUUUGAGAGGAGCUGUCCUUAGUACGAGAGGACCGGGAUGGACGCACCGCUGGUGUACCAGUUGUUCUGCCAAGGGCAUAGCUGGGUAGCUAUGUGCGGAAGGGAUAAGUGCUGAAAGCAUCUAAGCAUGAAGCCCCCCUCAAGAUGAGAUUUCCCAUAGCGUAAGCUAGUAAGAUCCCUGAAAGAUGAUCAGGUUGAUAGGUUCGAGGUGGAAGCAUGGUGACAUGUGGAGCUGACGAAUACUAAUAGAUCGAGGACUUAACCAUAUAA
rnacentral:rRNA from 1 species